UUGACGCGGUUUUAUCCCAAACUUUUCCCCCUGAAACCCCUAAAAUUUCCCCCUAAAAUCGGUAUCCUCAAAACACCUAAUUCUUACUGAGCAAGCCAAAAUGGGAGUUCACGGUCUAUGGGAACUGCUAGAUCCCGUCGGCAGCCGCGUGUCCGUCGAAACCCUAGCCGGAAAGAAACUCGCCAUCGGUGAACUCUGAAGUGGGCCUAUUCUCGUUGAGGAACAAUCGUUGCCCCUUCUCCUUCUUCAUAGAGGGUUUAAUAGAGGGUUUUUUUUCCCUUUUAUCAAUCUAUUUUUCAUAUUCUGUUGCAGAAAAACAAAAAGCCUUGUUUGUUAAACAGAGAAUAAAAAGUGAGAGAGACGAAGUUUGGUUAGUCCCACAUCACAAAUUUCUCAAACAAAGCUAUAAUGGGACAAUCUACCAUCUGGUGAAGUCACCCCCCUAUUGGCUCACCAUUCAGCAUGUACCGACCUCCGGCAA